rnacentral:rRNA from 1 species
GCGGAGGAAAAGAAACUAACAAGGAUUCCCUUAGUAGCGGCGAGCGAAACGGGAAUAGCCCAGCGCCGAAUUCCGCGAUCGUAACGGUCGCCGGAAAAUGUGGCGUUAAGAAGGGUCCGUCAUCUCGCGUAUCGACGACGCGUCCAAGUCCAUCUUGAACGGGGCCACCGCCCAGAGAGGGUGCCAGGCCCGUAGCGACCGUCAAACGUACGCGGGAGGAUCCCUUCCGAGAGUCGGGUUGCUUGAGAGUGCAGCCCUAAGCGGGUGGUAAACUCCAUCUAAGGCUAAAUAUGACCACGAGACCGAUAGCAAACAAGUACCGUGAGGGAAAGUUGAAAAGAACUUUGAAGAGAGAGUUCAAUAGUACGUGAAACCGUUCAGGGGUAAACCUGAAAAACCCGAAAGGUCGAACGGGGGAGAUUCAUUCGCGACGCGGCCGACGGGACCGAGCGUGUACGGGCGACGGAUCGCGGUCCUACCUACUCGUUAGGGAGGCGCCGCAACUCGCGCCCAACGUACGGUCCUGCGUCGCCGAACGCGUGCACUUCUCCCUUAGUAGAACGUCGCGAUCCGUUGGACGACGGCCUACGGCCCGCAAUUGUACAGUCCGCGAGCGCGGUUCGCGCCGAUACAGCUCGCGGGUACGCGCGGGGCCGAACGGCCCGUCCGACGGUAGAAUCGAAGACGCGGGGCCGCAAAUUUUUUUUUGCGUCCGUAGCGCGACGAGCUCGCGCCCGACAUCCGACGAUCGGAACAUAGUGGCCGAUCUCGGGUCGGCGCGGCUGCGGUCGCGCUUAUCUCGGACAGACCUCGAUCGUCGAUCGGCGACGCUAUCGCUUUGGGUACUUUCAGGACCCGUCUUGAAACACGGACCAAGGAGUCUAGCAUGUGCGCGAGUCAUUGGGAACGUACGAAACCCAAAGGCGAAAUUAACGUAAAGGUCCGCCUCGCGCGGACCUAGGGAAGAUGGGCGAACGGCGAUCGCUCGUCGUCGUCCCGCAUUCCCGGGACGUCUCGUUCUCAUUGCGAGAAGAGGCGUACCAAGAGCGUACACGCUGGGACCCGAAAGAUGGUGAACUAUGCCCGGUCAGGACGAAGUCAGGGGAAACCCUGAUGGAGGUCCGUAGCGAUUCUGACGUGCAAAUCGAUCGUCGGAACUGGGUAUAGGGGCGAAAGACUAAUCGAACCAUCUAGUAGCUGGUUCCCUCCGAAGUUUCCCUCAGGAUAGCUGGCACUCGUAAAAUCGUAACGAGUCUCAUCCGGUAAAGCGAAUGAUUAGAGGCAUUGGGGUCGAAACGACCUCAACCUAUUCUCAAACUUUAAAUGGGUGAGAUCUCCGGCUUGCUCGAAAGAUGAAGCCGCGAGAUUAUCUUAUUAGGAUCGGAGUGCCAAGUGGGCCAUUUUUGGUAAGCAGAACUGGCGCUGUGGGAUGAACCAAACGCCGAGUUAAAGCGCCYAAAUCGACGCUAAUGGGACACCAUGAAARGCGUUGGUAACUUAAGACAGCAGGACGGUGGCCAUGGAAGUCGGAAUCCGCCAAGGAGUGUGUAACAACUCACCUGCCGAAGUUACUAGCCCUGAAAAUGGAUGGCGCUGAAGCGUCGUGCUUAUACUCGGCCGUCAGCGGCAAGUGCGAACGAGCCUCACGGCUCUUUCAUAAAGCCCUGACGAGUAGGAGGGUCGCGACGGUGCGCGCAGAAGGGCUGGCCGCGAGGCCGUCUGGAGCCGCCGUCGGUGCAGAUYUUGGUGGUAGUAGCAAAUACUCCAGCGAGGCCCUGGAGGACUGAUGUGGAGAAGGGUUUCGUGUGAACAGCCGUUGCACACGAGUCAGUCGAUCCUAAGCUCUAGGCGAAAGCCGAGGUCGAUGCGGCAUUGGAUUCGUUAAAGCGACGAAGGGCGACACGACGAGAUAUAGACAAAUGAAAAACGUGCGAAAGCGGCGGCCAGUGAGAGAGAGAGNNNNNNNNNNNNNNNNNNNNNNNNNNNNNNNNNNNNNNNNNNNNNNNNNNNNNNNNNNNNNNNNNNNNNNNNNNNNNNNNNNNNNNNNNNNNNNNNNNNNGGUUCCUAUUCCGGAACCCGGCAGCGGAACCGUCUUAAAAUCGGGCCCUCGCAAGAGAGUUCGUCGGGGUAACCCAAAAUGACCCGGAGACGCCGUCGGGAAAUCGGGGAAGAGUUUUCUUUUCUGCAUGAGCGUUCGAGUUCCAUGGAAUCCUCUAGCAGGGAGAUAUGGUUUGGAACGCGAAGAGCACCGCAGUUACGGCGGUGUCCCGAUUUUCCCCUCGGACCUUGAAAAUCCGGGAGAGGGCCACGUGGAGACGUCGCGCCGGCUCGUACCCAUAUCCGCAGCAGGUCUCCAAGGU